AAUAGAUACCCAGGUAGUCCACGCCGUAAACGAUGAGUGCUAAGUGUUAGAGGGUUUCCGCCCGUUUAGUGCUGAAGUUAACGCAUUAAGCACUCCGCCUGGGGAGUACGGCCGCAAGGCUGAAACUCAAAGGAAUUGACGGGGGCCCGCACAAGCGGUGGAGCAUGUGGUUUAAUUCGAAGCAACGCGAAGAACCUUACCAGAUCUUGACAUCCUCUGACAACCCUAGAGAUAGGGCUUCUCCUUCGGGAGCAGAGUGACAGGUGGUGCAUGGUUGUCGUCAGCUCGUGUCGUGAGAUGUUGGGUUAAGUCCCGCAACGAGCGCAACCCUUGAUCUUAGUUGCCAUCAUUUAGUUGGGCACUCUAAGGUGACUGCCGGUGACAAACCGGAGGAAGUGGGGAUGACGUCAAAUCAUCAUGCCCCUUAUGACCUGGGCUACACACGUGCUACAAUGGACGGUACAAAGAGCUGCAAGACCGCGAGGUGAGCUAAUCUCAUAAACCGGUUNUCAGUUCGGAUUGUAGGCUACG
rnacentral:rRNA from 1 species